GACGAACGCUGGCGGCAUGCCUAACACAUGCAAGUCGAACGGAGAUUAUUUCGGUAAUCUUAGUGGCGAACGGGUGAGUAACGCGUGGGCAACCUGCCCUCUAGAUGGGGACAACAUCCCGAAAGGGGUGCUAAUACCGAAUGUGACAGCAAUCUCGCAUGGGGAUGCUGUGAAAGAUGGCCUCUAUUUAUAAGCUAUCGCUAGAGGAUGGGCCUGCGUCUGAUUAGCUAGUUGGUGGGGUAACGGCCUACCAAGGCGAUGAUCAGUAGCCGGUCUGAGAGGAUGAACGGCCACAUUGGGACUGAGACACGGCCCAGACUCCUACGGGAGGCAGCAGUGGGGAAUCUUCCGCAAUGGGCGAAAGCCUGACGGAGCAAUGCCGCGUGAGUGAUGAAGGAAUUCGUUCCGUAAAGCUCUUUUGUUUAUGACGAAUGUGCAGAUUGUGAACAAUGAUCUGUAAUGACGGUAGUGAACGAAUAAGCCACGGCUAACUACGUA
rnacentral:rRNA from 1 species